rnacentral:rRNA from 1 species
CGGCCGCGUCGACCGGGUCUGAGAGGAUGAUCAGCCACACCGGGACUGAGACAGCCCGGACUCCUACGGAGGCAGCAGUGGGGAAUAUUGGACAAUGGGGGCAACCCUGAUCCAGCCAUGCCGCGUGUGUGAAGAAGGCCUUUUGGUUGUUAAAGCACUUUAAAGCAGUGAAGAAGACUCCGUGGUUAAUUACCCACGGACGAUGACAUUAGCUGCAGAAUAAGCACCGGCUAACUCUGUGCCAGCAGCCGCGGUAAUACAGAGGGUGCAAGCGUUAAUCGGAAUUACUGGGCGUAAAGCGAGCGUAGGUGGCUUGAUAAGUCAGAUGUGAAAUCCCCGGGCUUAACCUGGGAACUGCAUCUGAUACUGUUAGGCUAGAAUAGGUGAGAGGAAGGUAGAAUUCCAGGUGUAGCGGUGAAAUGCGUAGAGAUCUGGAGGAAUACCGAUGGCGAAGGGUCGACGCGGCCG